rnacentral:lncRNA from 1 species
GCCGGCCUCGCGGGGGCGCCCCCACGCGGAGCAGCCGGGCCCCGCAGCCCCGCGUGCCGUCGGUUGGAGGCCGCGCCGCUGCCUCACGGACGACGGAAACUGAGGCUGAACACCGCGGGGAGCGGCCAGGAGCCCGGGCCGGGGAAACGGGUGGCUGGGAACCGGAUGCCGGCUCAGGCCCGCCCAGAACGAAAUCGAGUCCGACGGGAGGAGGAAGCCCCGCUCCGCAGGCCCCAGCCGCCCGUGCCCUGCUGCCGCCACCGCGCAGUUCCGGGGCCGCCCCGCCUCUCGCUGUCCUUCCGCAGGGCCAGCACCAGGCUCGGGAAGGCUGGGGAGCCCGGCCGACCUCUGACUGGCGGCGCCCAGCGUGACGGCGCCCUGCUGUGGCCCGGGCCAGGGCGAGGGGUCGGGCCGCGACUCCCUUGGGGGGCCUGGUGCGCCAGGGAAGAGAUGAGCGAGCGAGCGAGCAGCUCGCUGGGAUCCAGGCAGCUCCUUCAGCUGUUAGCCAGUUAACCAAGCCCAGAGGAAGACGCCAGGCGGAUGAAAGUUUCAGACAGCAAGUUUCAAAUCGAGCCUAAAUCUUUGCUCUUCGAGUUAAUUCCGGAAAAACAAAACGUUCAGUUUCUGAAAAAGACCUUAAAAUGCUUAUUGAAAUGUAAAGAAAAGCUUCCUGCACCUCAAGAACUAACAGAAUGGUAUUUUGAUGAUGCAAACGUAAAUGAUUUAAAAAACAUGGAAUACUUUCGUAUUGUUACAUGACGUAUAAAAAUAUGAAGAAUAGAACAUUAAAAGACAUAAAGUGACAUUUUCACCAUAUAUUGAAAAGUUUAUUUGAAAAACACUUAUUUGAGAUUAGACUGGAGGAUGUCUAGUGUGUGCUCAUGUGCCUGUUGUUCAAAAUGCUUCUCUAUGAUUAGAGGGUCUCUUGCUGCUAUUUUCUAAACUAAAUGGAAAGGGAAAAUCUCUUCUCUGAAACAAACAAACGAGAACCUAAGAGCACAGGUCUUCUCUGAGGGGUGAACAAGCAGCUUCGUGGACAGAGGAGCCCUGCGGUGAAGCCAUCUUCAGCUUUGGGGGCUG